rnacentral:rRNA from 1 species
GACGAACGCUGGCGGCGUGCUUAACACAUGCAAGUCGAACGAAGUGGCGAACGGGUGAGUAACGCGUAAUCAACCUGCCCUUCAGAGGGGGACAACAGUUGGAAACGACUGCUAAUACCGCAUACUGAAGGAGGGGAUUGCGUCGGAUUAGCUAGUUGGAGGGGUAACGGCCCACCAAGGCGAUGAUCAGUAGCCCGUCUGGGAGGAUGAACGGCCAAAUUGUGACGGAGGCACGGUUCAAACUCCUACGGGAGGCAGCAGAAGGGAAUAUUGCGCAAUGGGGGAAACCGUGACGCAGCAACGCCGCGUGAAGGAUGACACUUUUCGGAGCGUAAACUCCUUUUGUUAGGGAAGCGGUACCUAACGAAUAAGCACCGGCUAACUCCGUGCCAGCAGCCGCGGUAAUAC